GACGAACCGAGCGGACGUUAUUCGGAAUCACUGGGCUUAAAGGGCGCGUAGGCGGGCCAUCAAGUCAGGGGUGAAAGCCCCCAGCUCAACUGGGGAAGUGCCUUUGAUACUGGUGGUCUCGAGGGGGAUAGGGGCGUGCGGAACUUCCGGUGGAGCGGUGAAAUGCGUAGAUAUCGGAAGGAACACCGGUGGCGAAAGCGGCGCGCUGGAUCCCUUCUGACGCUGAGGCGCGAAAGCCAGGGGAGCAAACGGG
rnacentral:rRNA from 1 species